rnacentral:misc_RNA from 1 species
GAUGAAGAACGUAGCGAAAUGCGAUAAGUAAUGUGAAUUGCAGAAUUCAGUGAAUCAUCGAAUCUUUGAACGCACAUUGCGCCCGCCAGUAUUCUGGCGGGCAUGCCUGUUCGAGCGUCAUUACAACCCUCAGGCCCCCGGGCCUGGCGUUGGGGAUCGGCGGAGCCCCCCGUGGGCACACGCCGUCCCCCAAAUACAGUGGCGGUCCCGCCGCAGCUUCCAUCGCGUAGUAGCUAACACCUCGCGACUGGAGAGCGGCGCGGCCACGCCGUAAAACACCCAACUCUUCUGAAGUUGACCUCGAAUCAGGUAGGAAUACCCGCUGAACUUAAGCAUAUCAAUAAGCGGACGA